rnacentral:lncRNA from 1 species
UUACAUUACAGAUCCAAUCUACUUUAUUUAGCAUAAUUGGAUACAGCUGGAAGGCAUUUAUUCUUCCAGCAUAAUCAUAUCCAAAUGCACUUUACAACUUUAUAUAUACUUACAUUAAUAUAAUAUCAUUACAUGCACUUAUGACUAGGACAACAAUUAUAAUAUUAGACACUUAUAGUGUAGUAUAGUUGUACUAUAUUAUUUAAGAAUUAUUUUAGUUGUAUGAAUAGAUACAUUAUUCUUAAGAUUAUGCAGUGAAUAAAAAGAAGAAUCUUUUCUAAAUUCUUACAUGGUAUCAGAGCAGUAACCAUUUUCUAAACCCAACUUACAAAUUUUUUUUUCUAGUCUUCUUUUCUUCUUCAAAAUGGCACCAAAUUCCACAGAUGAUUCUUCAAACAUUUCUCCAGCUCGCAUAAUUACUCAACCAGCUGCUGUGGAUUCCACUCACCAUUAUUACAUUCAUCAAUCAGAUUCACAUGAAAUGGUUCUUGUCAACUCGGUGUUUGAUUGGAAGGGAUAUGGAGGAUGGAAUAGAGCUAUUGUCAUUGCACUCUCUUCCAAGAAUAAGCUUGGUUUUAUUGAUGGAACAUAUUCUGAACCUGAUGCUUCUUCCACUGAUUUCAAGUAGUGGAAUCGUUGCAAUGAUAUGGUUAUAUCAUAGAUCUUGAAUUCUUUAUCCAAGGACAUAGCUGAAGUGUCCUUUAUUCAAAAACUGCAAGUUCAAUUUGGAAAGAACUUGAAGUUAGAUUCGGACAAUGCAAUGGUGCUCAACUUUAUCACUUACAAAAAGAGUUGAGUGACCUAGUUCAAGGGACCUCUGAUAUAGCAUGAUACUAUACAAAGGUAAAAAGGAUUUGGGAUGAAUUAGAUACGUUGAAUAGUUGUGUGCAUUGCAACUGUGAAUGCAAUUGUGGAGGAAAGUUAAGAGCUUUAAAGUCUUUUCAAGAUGGUAGGCUAAUCCCAUUUCUGAUGAGACUUAAUGAUGCAUACACAGCUGUAAGAAGUAAUAUUCUAAUGAUUACCCCUCCUCCAAGUAUCAAUCAAGCCUAUUCUCUUCUCAUUCAAGAUGAAAAGCAUAGAGAAAUACAUGUUUUAAAAAGCCCAAUUGAAACUGCUUUUCUGGUACAAAAUCAACCAACCUAUUUUCAGAAAUAUGUUAAUGGAGAAGGAAAGCUAAUAACAAACCUUGAAGGAAAGAAGAAUAACCUUAUUUGCAACUAUUGUAAGAAGACCGGGCAUUCCAUUGAUAAAUGCUAUAGAAUCAUUGGUUUUCCAUCCACUUUCAAAUUUACCAAAUCCAAAAUAUAUCAAGGAGGACCUAACAACAAUGCAGCACUCAUAUAUGAAGAAAACACAAGUCAAUCAAUCAACACAAUGGAAGGAAAUGCAGCAGGAAAACUCAUCACUCAAGAGCAAUUCAGUCAGCUUUACCAACUCCUUCAGCAGGUUAAAGUUGGACAACAGGGUGAGCAGCUUUCUGAUACGACUGCUAGUGCAAAUUGUGCUGGUAUAAUAAUAAAUACCCCUAAUCUAUAUUGUCUUUCUUGUCUUCCUUACAUGAACUCUACCUCCUGGAUAAUAGAUUCAGGAGCUUCAGAAAAUAUGACUGCCACACCUCCUUUUUACCGCCCCGGGAGGGGGGGGAUAUAGGAUUUUUUCUAGUUAAAGUGACAUUAUUCAAAAUGGAAUUAUUUUAUUUAUUAUAGUCACCACUUGGAAUAUUUUAUUUGGUGUCCCAAGUCACCGGUUUAUUUUAAAUUCCAAAUCGAGGAAGAUUGACUCUAUUUUAAGUCUGCGAAACAAAAGGCCAUGUAAGGAAUUCUGUUAACCCGGGAGAAAGUGUUAGGCAUUCCCGAGUUCCGUGGUUCUAGCACGGUCGCUUAGUGAUUAUUACUUGGAUUAAAUAAUUAUGGAUAUUUUAUGUUCUAGAGAAAUUUAUGCACUUUACCUCAAACCACUUUUAAUUGCUUAACUAUUUGCAUUUACGGAACUAUCUUGAAACGAACAAUGCCUACGCAUAUUCAUUUUUCUUGGUAUGUCAGGAAUCAAGUCACACGUACGUGUACAUAGUUAAUAACGCUUUAUUAGUUUUAAGAUUAUUUUGUCAAAGUUGCACAAACGCAUACUUUGCCUUUAAAUUGGGAAAUAAUAACUAUGUCAAGCAAACGUGUACAUAAUCAUGAUAACUUAUUGGUUAACACUCGCCUAGAGCAUACUAGCUUAUUCAGAGUAUUUCAUUUAUUUAUAUUUAAUAAAAGUACUUCAAAUCUCAAUUUUGCUAAUUAAAAUACACUAAACUUAAUCAUUGACCUAAGUAAUAUAUUUCAUCUAAUACAAUUUUAAAAUAUACCUUUAUGAUUCAAUUCCCAAAGUAGCGUAUUAAAUUAAAUAAUUUUCCAAAUGAUAAAAUAAUGUACUGAAAAUUAAAGCAUGAUGAGAACUCUCUUUGUGUUCUCUAAAAUUUCCAAACAUUUGAAGUUUACAACCUUAAUUGCCAUCAUAUUCUACUAGAAAAAAAUGACUAAGUAUGUUCGUUAGGGUCCCUUGUCCAACCAAUAAUGGAUUAACAUGGAAAUGAAUUUUAAGGAAAUAUUAGUGGAUACUGGUUAGAAUCUAGAAAAAAAAUUAACAACUUUCAGUAUUAUGAUUGACGCUAAACUGAGGAAAUUUGAAUAACAUAGAUAUGCAAUUCUGCCGGAAACUAAACACCCAAAACUGUAAGUAUUUCUUUUCAUAAAUUAUUGUAUUAUCUUUUAUCAACUUUUAACUCAAAAUACUAACAUUUAUUGGAAUGAGAAAUAAUUCUUUUUAAAAAGAGAAGAAGAAAACCUGGGGAUGCAAAUCUUCUUCAAUAUAUGAUUCAAAGAACCUCUGGAACAAGUUUAAAAUGAUGAAAAUCCAAACUAAAUACAACAGCAAUUAGAUUAAGAAACCGAAAUAAGAACUGAAACCCUCGUGUGAAAUCGGAAUCUUAACGGUGACCCCAAUAGUGACUCAUAUUUUAGCCUCUCAAUAUUUUCUCUCUUCAGUAGUUUUUCAAUCUUUUCUUUUC